GAUGAACGCUAGCGGCAGGCUUAACACAUGCAAGUCGAGGGGUAUGGCAGCAAUGCCAGAGACCGGCGCACGGGUGCGUAACGCGUAUGGAACCUGGCCUGUUCAGGGGGAUAGCCCGGAGAAAUCCGGAUUAAUACCCCAUAACACUUCGGGAAGCAUUUCCUGGAGUUGAAAGCUCCGGCGGAACAGGAUGGUCAUGCGUGGCAUUAGCUAGUUGGUAAGGUAACGGCUUACCAAGGCUUCGAUGCCUAGGGGAUCUGAGAGGACUGCCCCCCACACUGGUACUGAGACACGGACCAGACUCCUACGGGAGGCAGCAGUGAGGAAUAUUGGUCAAUGGGCGGAAGCCUGAACCAGCCAUGCCGCGUGCAGGAUGACUGCCCUAUGGGUUGUAAACUGCUUUUGCAGGGGAGGAACCGGAUGUACGUGUACAUCCCUGACAGUACCCUGCGAAUAAGGAUCGGCUAACUCCGUGCCAGCAGCCGCGGU
rnacentral:rRNA from 1 species